rnacentral:misc_RNA from 1 species
GUUGUGACACAAUUUCAGCCGUAAUGCAUGCUUGGCUGAUUUCUUUACUGAAAGGUUUCUGGACCUUGGUUGAAAUUAUAAUGCCUAUAUUUCCCUACCUAUUCAAUUCUUAUAUGGCUGUAUGUGGGGGAAAUCUGACCUUUUUCUAUUUUUCACCAAAUGAGUUAUUUGGAAUUCUGUUGUUGCUCGUAACACUUCCUUGCCAUCAUAUACAAGUUUUCUGUAUUAUUCUUGAGUGUCAACACCACUCCUUGAUGACUUCUGUUUUAUUAGAUUGUUCUGAUUUUGACAUUCAAGUUAUCAAUUUAAUUGAUCUAAUUUAUGAAAUGCUUGAGCAUUCUUGUGAGUUGUGCACUUCUUUCAUGAUCCAUUACUGUCUAGUUAUCAUGGUUUCUUCCGUUAUUUUUGGUGGAAGUUUGGGUGCUGUCUUGAAAUUGUAUUUUUGAAACUAUUAUAAUGAAAAAUAUUGAUUUGUUAUAUAAGUGUGUUUUCUUGUAGGUACCUGG